CUGACUGGAUUGGAUUUGUUUGCAGUAUGUGCAGUAACACAAAUACUCGCGUUGUCAGAAACAUUUCUGGAACAUCAGAAGAUCUUCAGAUCUGAACGCAUGUUUAAUACUAAAGGUAGAAAUAUUUACCCUAAAGCUGUAUUCGUGAAUAGCCACUGCAGCCUUCAGUGGUCUGAAUACUUUAAACUUUGAAAGCUGUUAAAACCAUUAUCAGAAUUUGAGAUUUAGGGCUUACCACUACUUCAUAAUAGCAAAUUAGAAUUUACUAAUUCUGUUUGAUAACUGCAUGAUAAAUUUCUUUACGCUUCUAAGGGUAUGGGACAAAAGUGAGCUGUUCUGGUGGCUGCAAAGGCUCUGCGUUUGCUUCGUGUACGUUUGGGACGCAAAGACGAAACAAAAAGCUCAUAUCAUGCCUAUGAGCUUGUUCUAAAUAGUAAUAGAAAAAAUUGAAGAUAUAUACAAAGUGUCCAAUAUUCAGAUGCCUAUGCAACAAUAUUUGAAUGCUUUGGAUCUUUCUGGGACAACCAAGGAGAAAACAAGUUUAUAUUAAGCAUGGAUCAGUGCCAUUCAUAUACUAAUGAAUGACAUUGCCUGUGAAGCAUCUCAUGGAACUGAAAAUUGUCCAGGGGAUAGAGAAAACCAGUGUAUUCAGAUGGAGGUGGGAGAGGAAACCUUUGGAAGAGAGGCAAGAAAGCAAUGUGGAUGAGCUCUUGGAGGAAUGGGAGAUGCAGUGGCAAAGUCUACAGAGUCCAGAAUUACACAGCUGUUUCAUUCAAGCUGGGGACCGAUGUGAGACAUGGAGAGAGGUUCCAGGUGGGGCAAUGUGA
rnacentral:lncRNA from 1 species